rnacentral:tRNA from 1 species
GGGGUUGUAGCUCAGUUGGUUAGAGCGCCGGCCUGUCACGCCGGAGGCCGCGGGUUCGAGUCCCGUCACUCCCGCCA